rnacentral:rRNA from 1 species
UGCCAGCCGCCGCGGUAAGACGGAGGGUGCUAGCGUUGUUCGGAAUGACUGGGCGUAAAGGGCGCGUAGGCGGUUUUGUUAGUCAGGCGUGAAAGCCCCGGGCUUAACCUGGGAACUGCGUUUGAUACUGCAAGACUUGAGAACGGAAGAGGAAAGUGGAAUUCCUAGUGUAGAGGUGAAAUUCGUAGAUAUUAGGAGGAACACCAGAGGCGAAGGCGGCUUUCUGGUCCGUUACUGACGCUGAUGCACGAAAGCGUGGGUAGCAAACAGGAUUAGAUA